GGACAUUGUCCAGUCUCUGAACUCCCCCGCGAGCCAGUCAGUAAUGCCGCGGCUACACUCGGCGAACGAUCACAACGUUUUCCUCGAUUUUUCCACGGGCAGCAAAAUUGCCGAUUUGGCGCCAGUUUUGUACAGGGAGCGCUUGAAAAGUUGAACACAACGUGCAAUUUUAAUCCUCAUCGAUCGAUUCGUCAUGUCCGUCGCAAAAUCGGACGUCUGAAGAAAUCGGAAGGAUGCCAGCUGGUAUAUCGACUCUGGCGCCGUCGACGGAUGCGGGAUCUUUCGGUUAUGAAACCAAGGAUCCGUCGGCCUUUACAAUCUUACAGAAGGAUGGCCUGGACUCGAGUCUGCCGCUCUUACAUGUCAACGAGGACGAUGAGAUGAGUGCGCCGCAGCUCACCAAUUUGGAGAACAUGAAGAACACGAUGAAGAAUAAUCUCUGUAAUCGUAGACGUAUCAGCAAAUCCAACGAACAUUUGGUCUUGGCUAGUUUACAGUCAAAUCAAGUCAAUCCUCUGAAGAAAAGGCAUCAGAGCAAAAGCCAAGAUAACUUAGAGUUAGCUGAGGAGAGACCACUUACAGUUAAACCCAGCAUCGUCUUAUCAACGGAGGAUUUCAAUGAGGUGCUGAACGCAAAAUUGAAAAAGAUUCAAGAGCAAGCCGAGGCCGAGCAAGGCCGCAAAUCGCCCAAGAAAUCGAUUCCGCAGAAAAAGCCGUUCAUCACGACCGUGAAGACGGGAGAAUUUCUAAUGCCACCACCGGAAGUGGCGGCCUGGCUCGGCAUAGCGCCCCGCGGAACCGAGGAGGAGGCAACGGACGGAUGUCCUCUGAGGAGUAGAUUCAAAUCACUGGUAUCGCUAGCAAAGAGACCGGAGGUACGUCACAGUAACCACAAUGCCAGAUGCCCAGCCGCCCUAAAGGCCACCGUAGACUUUUCCCUUGGCAUGAUGAACGCCACCACCAUCGCAACUGCCUCGACCUUGAACGAGCAGGCGAGGAGGUUCAAGAGAAGCGAGCAAGUCAGAUUCCCCCAGACGCCGCGUGCUUUACCGAAAAAGUUGGAACCGAUCGAGGGCAUGACGAAUAUGCUGCCGAGACUCCGCGGCGAUCAAUCGGUUCCUUUCGGGAAUAUUAUGUUUGACCGUCGAGUGGCUCGAGGAAGCACAUUCGCUUCCGUUCCUACUCUCAUCGAUGGGGAACAAUCGAUAGCAGCAAGGCAAGCGGAAGCGAGACGAAGACAUUUGGCAAGAAAACGUGCCCAAGUGCAAGCCUGCAGAGCGCUUGUCGCUAGAACGGGUUCGCCUCCUCCAGUUCCUGGAAGAAAACACGAACCAGUGCAAACCGAAACUUUUCUCGAAGAGUUGAUAGAAAAACCAGACGAAUCCGAAGUAGCCACACAAACUGAUUAUUUCAUGGAAAGACCAGUAUUGCCGGAUUAUUAUCCAGGCAAAGUUGGAAAGGACGCUUGUACCCAAAUCGAACCCGGGGAACUCUUCGACUAUGACACUGAAGUUCAACCGAUCUUGGAGGUGUUAGUAGGCAAGACUAUCGAACAAGCCCUAAUCGAAGUUCUGGAAGAGGAAGAAAUUGCUGCUCUUAAGGAGCAGCAGAGAAGAUUCCUCGAAUUACGCAUGGCUGAACAAGCUGAAGAGCAACGAUUGGCGGAAGAAGAGAGGAGACGUAGAGAGGAGAAGGAUCAACGUCUAAAACAACACGAAGAGGCAAUGAAGGCUCAGCAAGAGACUGAGGAACGAGUUGCGGCUGCGGUAUUGUUAACAGGAUAUAUCGCCGAACUUUUACCUUCAGUUCUGGAGGGUCUAAAAAUGUCUGGCUUCUUACUGGACGAAAUCAAGGCUGAUGUCGAAGAAGGUUUCAUGCCUUGGUUAAUGAAAGAAGUUAAAAAAGAAAUGGGUAAUAUGAUCGAAAGCAGAGAAUUAUUAAUGGAAAUUAUUAGAGAAAUCUUGGAGAACCGUGCGCAAACAUACAGGCAGCUUGGUGAAGAAUACGAUAUUUCAAGAAAUAAGAAACUAGAAAACGUAUAUAACUUGGAAGGAGGUGAAACUGAUAGCAACUUCGUCAACUAUGAAUCACCCACAGAAAAUCAUCACGCAAUUUAGCGUGAUAAAUAAUUUGAUAACGGGAUUUACCUUAACCAGCACAAAAGCAAUAUCCGAACCCGGUACCUUCUACAUUAAGCAGUGUACACAGCUGUGCAACAAAUCCAUCUCCUUCGCUUGCACCCUCUGACAGGUCACCGCAGUGCUCGCGAUCCCUAUCGCAAACAGUAACCGCCGAAAGAACGAGAAAGGCCCAUCAGAAAUUAAUUAUCGAUUCUCGAAAUCAACGAUUGACAUGGAAACGUUGCACAAUGCUUUCAAGAAUAAGAAGCUGAUUAUAUCCUGAGAUGUAAUUUGUAAUUUAUUCAUGUAAUUCCGAAGAGAUCCCAAAAAUUUAAGUACAUAUUAAUAAACAAAAAUAUAAAAAGAGUUUAAUGUGCAUAAUAUAUAUUUUUCAUCAUUAGAAAUUGCUCUCUCGUACUUGUCAAAUUAAAACAUUUUUGUUUUUUAAUAAUAAUAUACAAUUUUAAUAUCGUA